rnacentral:rRNA from 1 species
AUAAUGGAAUAGGACCUCGGUUCUAUUCUGCUGGUUUUCGGAUCCCGAGGUAAUGAUUGAGAGGGGCAGACGGGGGCAUUCGUAUUGCGGUGCUAGAGGUGAAAUUCUUGGACCGCCACAAGACGGACUACUGCGAAAGCAUUUGCCAAGAAUGUUUUCAUUAAUCAAGAACGAAAGUUAGAGGUUCGAAGGCGAUCAGAUACCGCCCUAGUUCUAACCAUAAACGAUGCCGACCAGCGAUCCGCCCGAGUUCUUCGUACGUCUCGGCGGGCAGCUUCUGGGAAACCUAAAGGUUUUUGGGUCCGGGGGAAGUAUGGUUGCAAAGCUGAAACUUGAAGGAAUUGACGGAAGGGCACCACAAGGAGUGGAGCCUGCGGCUUAAUUUGACUCAACACGGGAAAACUUACCCGGCCCGGACACCGGAAGGAUUGACAGAUUAAUAGCUCUUUCUUGAUUCGGUGGGUGGUGGUGCAUGGCCGUUCUUAGUUGGUGGAGUGAUUUGUCUGGUUAAUUCCGAUAACGAACGAGACUCCAGCCUGCUAAAUAGACCCACGGUCCGCAGUACCGUGAGCGGGUCUUCUUAGAGGGACGGGCGGCUCUUAGCCGCAUGAAACGGAGCGAUAACAGGUCUGUGAUGCCCUUAGAUGUCCGGGGCCGCACGCGCGCUACACUGAAGGGAUCAGAACGCGUUUCCCCUAGCCCGAGAGGGCUGGGAAACCGUGUGAACCCCCUUCGUGCUAGGGAUAGGGGAUUGUAAUUGUUCCCCUCGAACGAGGAAUUCCUAGUAAACGCGAGUCAUCAGCUCGCGUUGAUUACGUCCCUGCCCUUUGUACACACCGCCCGUCGCUACUACCGAUUGAAUGAUUUAGUGAGGUCUUCGGACCGGUCCGGCGGAGGGCCCCGGCSUAUUCUCCGUUGACUCGGGAAGAUGACCUCACUAAAUCAUCCCCGGGAAGUAAAAGUCGUAACAAGGUUGCCGUUGGUGAACCAGCGGCAG